UCUGCUAGGAAGAUGCUACCAAAUGCAGCCCAAGACUGGUAACUCAAUGAAGCUAAGCAGUGCUGAGCCUGAUCAGGACCUGGAUGGGUGACCACAUGGGAAAACUAGGUUGCUGUUGGAA
rnacentral:rRNA from 1 species